rnacentral:rRNA from 1 species
GACGAACGCUGGCGGCGUGCUUAACACAUGCAAGUCGAACGAUGAAGAAAAGAAUUGAAGCUUCGGCAGAAAUUCAUUUCGGAUUAGUGGCAGACGGGUGAGUAACGCGUGAGCAACCUACCUCUUACAAAGGGAUAGCCUCGGGAAACCGGGAUUAAUACCAUAUAACAUUGCGACGAAGCAUUUCGAUGCAAUCAAAGCUACGGCGGUAAGAGAUGGGCUCGCGUCCCAUUAACCAGAUGGUGAGGUAACGGCUCACCAUAGUAACGAUGGGUAACCGGCCUGAGAGGGUGGACGGUCACACUGGAACUGAGACACGGUCCAGACUCCUACGGGAGGGAGCAGUGGGGAAUAUUGCACAAUGGAGGGAACUCUGAUGCAGCGACGACGCGUGAGUGAUGAAGGAAUUCGUUUCGUAAAACUCUGUUCUAUGGGAAGAAAAGGACUGUACCAUAGGAGAAAGCGCCGGCUAAAUACGUG